CUCAAGUUGUCUAUCUAGCAAUUUUUCUCUAAAUCAAGUUCUUUUCAUCAUCUCUAGCUCCACUAACGGGCAAAAUUUUUCCUCCUUGCUAGUCCGAAACCCCUGAGAGGUAGCAUCUCUGUUCUCAUGAGUACCAAAAAUGGGAAAAUGUGGGACAAUUCUCAUUUCUCUUUACUGCUCUGCCCCUUUGUUUAUCGUAUUAAUUACACAGAAGACUGCACAGAUAUAUUAGAUUUUACUGAUUGGUUGGAGGUGGCUGAUGAAAAUUAUAAUGUAGGGUGAGAAAAAAAAGCUAUUUCUUUUUCUUUUGAGACAGGGUCUCUUGCCCAGGCUGGAGUGCAGUGGCAGUAUCUUGGCUUGCAGGAGCCUCAAACUCCCGGGCCCAAGAGAUCCUCCCACCUCAGCCUCCCAAAUAGCUGGAACUAUAGGUGCACCACACCUGGCUAAUUUUUGUAUUUUUUGUAGAAACAAGGUUUCGCUAUGUUGCCCAGGCUGGUCUCGAACUCCUGAGCUCAAAUGAUACACCCACUUCGGCCUCCCAAAGUGCCAAGAUUACAGGCGUGAGCCACCGUGCCUGGCCGAAAGAGCCAUUUCUGUGUAAUUUUUCUGCAUAGUUUAAAAUAAAACCAUGUAAGAAACUGACUGUCAUAGGCAGUUAUAGUUCUCCCCAGUCCUUGUUCCUUUAAGUUUAGAUCUCUUUGUAAGAAUAUAAACUUCUAACUCUGCCCAUAGCUCCCCAUGUACUUUUCAGGUAAUUCUAUCUUUAGUCAUGAAAGUUGAUGUUCCCUUAGGAUUCACGCUUCUUUUCUCAGCAGUAUCUUUAGCCAAAUCUGAAUUAAUCUGUUCAGAAUGAACAAGCAGAAUAGUCUUUGGAUUUGAUCCAAAUCCCUGAAGCACUUUGGGAAUGAGAAUGGCUAUGCCAGACAGAGAGACCCUGGCGACUUAUGAUACUGCAGAACACAACAGGCACUUCAGAUUGGUCCCAGGUAAGUUGAGGGAGAGCAGUGAUAUUGAGCAGUCAGCUAAAGAAACAAAGCUG
rnacentral:lncRNA from 1 species